UGGCGAACGGGUGAGUAAUGUAUCGGAACGUGCCCAGUAGCGGGGGAUAACUGGCCGAAAGGUCAGCUAAUACCGCAUACGCCCUACGGGGGAAAGGGGGGGAUUCUUCGGAACCUCUCACUAUUGGAGCGGCCGAUAUCGGAUUAGCUAGUUGGUGGGGUAAUGGCCUACCAAGGCGACGAUCCGUAGCUGGUUUGAGAGGACGACCAGCCACACUGGGACUGAGACACGGCCCAGACUCCUACGGGAGGCAGCAGUGGGGAAUUUUGGACAAUGGGGGAAACCCUGAUCCAGCCAUCCCGCGUGUGCGAUGAAGGCCUUCGGGUUGUAAAGCACUUUUGUCAGGGAAGAAAAGGUUCUGGCUAAUACCCGGAACUGAUGACGGUACCUGAAGAAUAAGCACCGGCUAACUACGUGCCAGCAGCCGCGGUAAUACGUAGGGUGCAAGCGUUAAUCGGAAUUACUGGGCGUAAA
rnacentral:rRNA from 1 species